CGUACCCUGAUUGAGAACCGUCGGAACACAGUGAGAACGUCCAAACAAAGACAAGAAGUACACCAAAUAAAUCAUUCAGUAUCCAAUCUAAACAGACGGGAAGUGUCUGUGCAAACAAAUCUUCCUUUGAGGGGAAAAGAGGAGGGAGGGGACCCUUUGCAGCUUCCUGAAAGAUAUGUAAGGAAUCAUGACGAGAGAUGCAAUGCAAAAGGGGACAAAGAAAGGUCAAGAAGCUGGAUCUUCAAUGCAAAGGCUGGGGCUUCUUUCAGCUAAUCGCAAUUAUUUAGCAAAUGCAUGUGUCACCACGCGCCUCCGCCUCCGUUUGCGGCCAUUAGUCCCUCCUGAAGCUGACAAUGGAAAACUACUCCUAUAAACUAGUUCCACAGGCUGCAAAUCAACAGACCUAUGAAAAUUUUGACUGCAACCACCACCGUAUGCGCACUGCGCCCUCACGCGACAGUGUAGCAUCUAUGGGAUCUGUCCACGCGCUGCAUGAAGUGUCGAAAUGAUUGGUUUUCCAGAUAUGGAGUAAUGGCAGGUACAGGAGCAGUACUUGAAGAUGAAAAUGGAGGAAAUGGCACACACCGACUUCGCAAAGAUAAAAAAGGGAUUCCAGCACCCUGGAAGAAGCUUUUGAGGAUGAAGUCCUCAGCUUCUCUUCAUGGCAUGACUCUACGAGGCCUCCGCAUUGUAACAAUGUUUUUUCUUUUUCUUGUUUAAUGCACUUAGUAGAAUGAAGAUCACUGUAUAAUUUUUUAUUUUUUUUAUAAA